UGGGGAAUAUUGCACAAUGGGCGCAAGCCUGAUGCAGCCAUGCCGCGUGUGUGAAGAAGGCCUUCGGGUUGUAAAGCACUUUCAGCGAGGAGGAAGGUGGUGAGCUUAAUACGCUCAUCAAUUGACGUUACUCGCAGAAGAAGCACCGGCUAACUCCGUGCCAGCAGCCGCGGUAAUACGGAGGGUGCAAGCGUUAAUCGGAAUUACUGGGCGUAAAGCGCACGCAGGCGGUUUGUUAAGUCAGAUGUGAAAUCCCCGGGCUCAACCUGGGAACUGCAUUUGAAACUGGCAAGCUAGAGUCUCGUAGAGGGGGGUAGAAUUCCAGGUGUAGCGGUGAAAUGCGUAGAGAUCUGGAGGAAUACCGGUGGCGAAGGCGGCCCCCUGGACGAAGACUGACGCUCAGGUGCGAAAGCGUGGGGCAGCAAACAGGAUUAGAUACCCUGGUAGUCCACGCUGUAAACGAUGUCGAUUUUGGAGGUUGUGCCCCUUGAGGCGUGGCUUCCGGAGCUAACGCGUUAAAUCGACCGCCU
rnacentral:rRNA from 1 species